GUAGGGAAUAUUGGGCAAUGGUCGGAAGACUGACCCAGCCAUGCCGCGUGCAGGAAGACGGCCCUCUGGGUUGUAAACUGCUUUUAUCUGGGAAGAAAAAGGCCAUGCGUGGCAAAUUGCCGGUACCAGAUGAAUAAGCACCGGCUAACUCCGUGCCAGCAGCCGCGGUAAUACGGAGGGUGCGAGCGUUGUCCGGAUUUAUUGGGUUUAAAGGGUGCGUAGGCGGCUGAUUAAGUCAGCGGUGAAAGACUUCGGGUUAACCGGAGCAGUGCCGUUGAUACUGGUUGGCUUGAGUGUCGGAGGGGUACAUGGAAUUGAUGGUGUAGCGGUGAAAUGCAGAGAUACCAUCAGGAACACCGAUAGCGAAGGCAUUGUACUGGCCGACAACUGACGCUGAUGCACGAAAGUGUGGGGAUCGAACAGGAUUAGAAACCCCUGUAGUCC
rnacentral:rRNA from 1 species